CGUAAGCUGCCAACAGAUAAACCAGCAUAUUGUGAAACAUAAAAAGAAAAGACUUACUUAAUUACUACCACAGUUUUACUGUAAUUAUUCAGAAAGACUUCCAUUAGACAUGUUCUUAUUAUAAACACUAUGAAAAGUAAUGAGAUCUGCAAAUUCAUUAUUUCCUCUGAUUUUAAAAACUGAUCCUGCUUUUGUUGGAGUAACUGUCUCCACUGUUCUUUCUCCAAAAGGCUUUCUACAAUAAUUUGGAGCAUUGCUGUGAGGAUCUGAUUGCACUCAGUGAAAAGAACAUAAGCCGAGAGUGUGUGAGGGGCUGGGACUGAGUGUGAAUGUGUCUGUGCAGGGUUUACCAUCUGCCUGAAGACUUUGGAGUCUUUGGUCCUGGGGAAGGAUCUGUCAGGGACCCAGCGGGGCAUUAACCCAUCAGUGGAGUUGGCCCUGGCUCGCUGCAUCUUAGCCAUCAUGGCCUUUUCUUCUUUCUGCAGGAAUAUAUCAAACCCACAGUAUACAGUGCAGUGAAUGGCAACGACAGUGACCGGCAGAAAUCCCACCCACAGGUUUCACAAGCAUAUCCUGCAGUCUGUAAGUCAAAAGGGUCGAAACAAGAUGCUUCUCUUCAAAUAUUCCAGUUCAGAAGCACUUAGAGAUACUACAGAAGAAGAGAUGGUUGCUCAAAGCCCCAUCAGUGGUAGCUCAGCAGACCUUUGAAACAAACCUAAAUCCCUGUGAUCAAUAAGCCAGCCAGCACUCCAACCACUGAGCCACCACUGCCCUUCAGCUCUGUUAGAUCAAUGCAUCACAACAUUUCACCACAUUUCUACAGUUACUGUAGUGAAAUAACUGACCCGCUU